UUUCCUCUUCCUGUCUGUCAUGUCCAGCCUGUGAAGAGCACGCUGGCUGAGCUGGCGAGAGGGGUGGGGGCGUCCUGGCGCUGCUUCCGCACCCACUGUCACUGUCCCGGCCCUCGCUGAGUGUCCCCGGACCCGUGGGCCCGCGUCUAUGCCAGGCCUUGGGGAGUCCUCCAGCCUCGGAGCCUCUUCCCGUUCUCAGACCUCAGUGCGAGGAGGAAAUCGGGAUUCACAUCUGCAAUAUAGAGGGGAGACCCCUAGGAGCUCGGGGACUGCGGAGGCCCCUAGGCCCAGCAUGGGGCGUCCAGAGUUGUUGCCUUGUGGACCAAGACAGCCCACAGCCCAUGGCAGCUUCCAGAGCCAGAAGAAGGGGAGUCAUCUCUGAAGAGCCCUGGACUACCUCCUUGCGGACCUCAUUGGCCAGAACUUUCUGGCUCUCAUGCUCACCACAAGGCCAAUCACUAGCAAGAUAAAAAAGGAGCACCCCGAAGGGCCGAGACCAGCUGUGCCUCUGGGCAGGGGAGGGGCUGCCCCUUCCUUACCUGAACUCAAUUCAUUUUAUUUUUAUUUUUUAACAUAAAGAAAAGGCAAUGGGAAUUCAGUGAGUGGACAGCUAGCCACCUCUGUGGCUGCCUGCCGUGUGAGCACGGGCCAUGUUCUGUCUUUGAUCUCCUCUGUGAAACGGGAAUAACAGCAGGGGCUAGGUUCUGACCCCUCAGACCUCACCCCUGAGCUUUCCAAGCCUGCAUCCAUUUGCUCUUCAUCCCUACUCUCAAGACUUUCAGCAUCCCAUCUGCAGAUGAGGACUCAGAGGCCCCAGGUUCCGUAGCUGAGCUGAGGGGCCAGAGGUCCAGCCCAGAGGCCGUUGGCUCCGUGGAACCCCGGGAGCUCCAGGCUCCCAGUAGUGCAUGAAUGUGCAUGCGUGCAUGUGUGUGA